GCGACUUGCCAGAGUGGUCUAAUGGGAUUGAUUCGAAUAUGGAACGCUCAGGCGAUUCCCUCAAGUUGAUUAUCAAUUGUGCUUUGCACGCACAGGUUCAAAUCCUGUAGUCGUCG